GCAGCAGUAGGGAAUCUUCCGCAAUGGGCGAAAGCCUGACGGAGCAACGCCGCGUGAGUGAUGAAGGUCUUCGGAUCGUAAAACUCUGUUAUUAGGGAAGAACAAAUGUGUAAGUAACUAUGCACGUCUUGACGGUACCUAAUCAGAAAGCCACGGCUAACUACGUGCCAGCAGCCGCGGUAAUACGUAGGUGGCAAGCGUUAUCCGGAAUUAUUGGGCGUAAGCGCGCGUAGGCGGUUUUUUAUUCUGAUGUGAAAGCCCACGGCUCAACCGUGGAGGGCAUUGGAAACUGGAAAACUUGAGUGCGAAGAGGAAAGUGGAAUUCCAUGUGUAGCGGUGAAAUGCCAGAGAUAUGGAGGAACACCAGUGGCGAAGGCGACUUUCUGGUCUGAACUGACGCUGAUGUGCGAAAGCGUGGGGAUCAAACAGGAUUAGAUACCCUGGUAGUCCACGCCGUAUACGAUGAGUGCUAAGUGUUAGGG
rnacentral:rRNA from 1 species